CAAGUCGAACGAGAAAGUGGAGCAAUCCAUGAGUAAAGUGGCGCACGGGUGAGUAACACGUGACUAACCUACCCUUGAGUGGGGAAUAACCUCGGGAAACCGGGGCUAAUACCGCAUAACACCUUCGGGUCAAAGGAGCAAUUCGCUUAAGGAGGGGGUCGCGGCUGAUUAGCUAGUUGGUGGGGUAAUGGCCUACCAAGGCAAUGAUCAGUAUCCGGCCUGAGAGGGCGCACGGACACACUGGAACUGAAACACGGUCCAGACUCCUACGGGAGGCAGCAGUGGGGAAUUUUGCACAAUGGGGGAAACCCUGAUGCAGCAACGCCGCGUGGAGGAUGAAGUCCCUUGGGAUGUAAACUCCUUUCGACCGGGACGAUAAUGACGGUACCGGUGGAAGAAGCCCCGGCUAACUCUGUGCCAGCAGCCGCGGUAAUACAGAGGGGGCAAGCGUUGUUCGGAAUUAUUGGGCGUAAAGGGUGCGUAGGCGGUGCGGUAAGUCUUCUGUGAAAUCUCCGGGCUCAACUCGGAGCCUGCAGGAGAAACUGCCGUGCUUGAGUAUGGGAGAGGUGAGUGGAAUUCCUGGUGUAGCGGUGAAAUGCGUAGAUAUCAGGAGGAACACCUGUGGCGAAAGCGGCUCACUGGACCAUAACUGACGCUGGGGCACGAAAGCUAGGGGAGCAAACAGGAUUAGAUACCCUGGUAGUCCUAGCCCUAAACGAUGAUUGCUUGGUGUAGCAGGUACCUAAUCCUGCUGUGCCGCAGCUAACGCGUUAAGCAAUCCGCCUGGGGAGUACGGUCGC
rnacentral:rRNA from 1 species